rnacentral:rRNA from 1 species
CCUACGGGAGGCUGCAGUGAGGAAUAUUGGUCAAUGGACGAGAGUCUGAACCAGCCAAGUAGCGUGAAGGAUGACUGCCCUAUGGGUUGUAAACUUCUUUUAUAUGGGAAUAAAACGUUCCACGUGUGGGAUUUUGUAUGUACCAUAUGAAUAAGGAUCGGCUAACUCCGUGCCAGCAGCCGCGGUAAUACGGAGGAUCCGAGCGUUAUCCGGAUUUAUUGGGUUUAAAGGGAGCGUAGGUGGAUUGUUAAGUCAGUUGUGAAAGUUUGCGGCUCAACCGUAAAAUUGCAGUUGAAACUGGCAGUCUUGAGUACAGUAGAGGUGAGCGGAAGUCGUGGUGUAGCGGUGAAAUGCUUAGAUAUCACGAAGAACUCCGAUUGCGAAGGCAGUUCACUGGACUGCAACUGACACUGAGGCUCGAAAGUGUGGGUAUCAAACAGGAUUAGAUACCCGAGUAGUC